AAAACAAUAUCUAGAGGGAAAAAAAUACAUUUUUAUUUAUCAAAACAAAAAGUUAAUACAACACAGAUAACAGAUCUUCCCUUCCCUUCCAUUCCCAAUUUUCCCCUCUAAAUUCUGCAUAAAAUCACCAAAUUCUUCAAUAUUUACAUCAACAAUUCAAAUCAUUCGAAAUGCAAAUCUACGAUUCAUCAAUCGAAUUCUCCUCCGGUUCAUCAAAAUUAGGGUCAUUUGCGUCGACAACAACAGCAGCAUCAGCUUCUUCUUUCUUAGAAGAAUAACUUCCGUCGCCGGCCCAAGUAAACUUUCCACCAUGGCCGCCUUUCUUCGGAGAUCCACUCAUUCCGGUGGCCGAUCGCCGGUCUUUUCUCGCAUCUUGGCUUGAUUUGGGGGUAAUUUUGGAACUUUUUGAUGUGUUUUUCAUAGUGACUUUAUUUUUUUUCAGUGAGAUUUGUGUGACUGAGGUAAUGAGAAGUGG
rnacentral:misc_RNA from 1 species